rnacentral:lncRNA from 10 species
AGCACCUACUUCAGAAGGGUGUUGCAAGGAUUGAAUAAGUUAAUUCAUGUAAAGUUCUAAGAACUGGCACAUAAAAAAUGUUGAUUAAUAUUAGCUAUUACUAUAAAUUAUUUUUAAAGCUUCUCAUCCUUUGAUGUUUUCAAAAAUGAAUACCUAAUUUCAGAGGGAUUGUAUGUGAAGUCCAUAUUUCACUGUUUUUAAAUGUUUCCCUGCCUCCCCCACCCUGCCUCUGGUUCCACCCUGUCCCGGUCCCUCUUCCUAGUGCUGCCCAGACUGGGUCACCAAACAGGCCUGUCUGACGGAACCCUUGUCACCUUUGUGGAGAAUUCUCUUUGGGCCCUGCCUGGAAGUAAGAGCCACGGAGCCUGCCCAGGUGCCCCUUCUCCUCCUUUCCCCAUGACCUGGGCUUCUGCAUUCCCUGCAGCAGUGGAGAUGUGGUGUGGCUACCAUGCUUCCCCCGAGCUCUGUGCCUGCUGCCCCAUUCUGCUCAGGAGCCUCUUCCUGCGGGGACCCUCUGGUGCUCUGGCCUCACCUCUGUGGCUCGUCCUCUCUGAUGCCUCCUCCUCCCCAGAGAGGGCGUUCAUCUCUGGUCCCAUGCUCCUCUGUUAGUCUCCACUAGUCAAAGGCAGAGGUGAUGUUUCCCGCCUCCCUGUAAUCCCAGCACCUAGUAGCGUGCCCAGCAAGUGAAUCUCUUUGUCAGGUAGUUAAGACAGUGGAUUAAUAUGAAAUAAAAAUAUCCCUUUGGCGAUUCUUUUGGUCACACUGUGUUAUCUCCUCCAGGCAGGAAAAAUACUAUUGUAUUACAAGGCUCGGACCAAAGACAUCCUGAUUCGAUUCACUGCUUGGUGUUGUAUUCUUGGGCUCAUUUCUGUUGCUCUGACGAAGGUUUCUGAAAAUGAAGGCUUUAUUCCAGUAAACAAAAAUCUCUGGUCCCUUUCGUAUGUCACUACGCUCAGUUCUUUUGCCUUCUUCAUCCUGCUGGUCCUGUACCCAGUUGUGGAUGUGAAGGGGCUGUGGACAGGAACCCCAUUCUUUUAUCCAGGAAUGAAUUCCAUUCUGGUAUAUGUCGGCCACGAGGUGUUUGAGAACUACUUCCCCUUUCAGUGGAAGCUGAAGGACAACCAGUCCCACAAGGAGCACCUGACUCAGAACAUCGUCGCCACUGCCCUCUGGGUGCUCAUUGCCUACAUCCUCUAUAGAAAGAAGAUUUUUUGGAAAAUCUGAUGGCUCCCACUGAGAUGUGCUGCUGGAAGACUCUAGUAGGCCUGCAGGGAGGACUGAAGCAGCCUUUGUUAAAGGGAAGCAUUCAUUAGGAAAUUGACUGGCUGCGUGUUUACAGACUCUGGGGGAAGACACUGAUGUCCUCAAACUGGUUAACUGUGACACGGCUCGCCAGAACUCUGCCUGUCUAUUUGUGACUUACAGAUUUGAAAUGUAAUUGUCUUUUUUCCUCCAUCUUCUGUGGAAAUGGAUGUCUUUGGAACUUCAUUCCGAGGAGAUAAGCUUUAACUUU